GGAAGCAGAGAGUGAAGCUAGCUACUAGUUAACUGCAGAGGUCUGGAGGUCUGUACAGAGAGGAACAGAAAGUGAUAAGGUAGGGCAGAGACAGGAUCUUGGUCCUUUUGGACUGGAGGAAUACAAGAGGAAGGAAGCAACUGUGGCUGCUCUCCUACUUCUCUGAUCUUUCAGGUUUUACCUCAAUAUCUGACUCCUCGUUUUUAUUGAUGAGAUUCAUUA